GAUGGAUAUUAUAUAAAUAUCUUCCCAGGAUCAUGUGCAAAGUCUGGAAUCCCUCAAAGCUGAGCUGGCUUUGGUCAGUGACAAGAAGGCAGACCUGGAACGGAGGCUGACGAGCUCCCUCAAGAACAAGGAAGGACUGAUGCAGCAGCUUGAAGAAGCCAACGACAGGAUCGUGGCUUUGGAGAGGCAGCUCAAGGAACAGGAACAUCUCUACCAAAACACACUUAAAGAAUUAGAACGGCUA